AGAUGGAACCCAAAAGUCAGAAAAAAUUUCUGCACACUCGAUGGGACGAUUAUGACGCCGAUUGUGAACAAAUCCCACUUCAUGCGGUGGAUGAAGUUGAUGCAUCAUUUCACUCAUUCAACAGUCCAACUUUGACACAUAAAUCAGUUGAUGAAACAGAUGCUACGCCCGAAGAUCUAGACUAUACAUAUUUGGACGGAGCAGUUGCUGUUUUUUCAAUUCUUUCAUUUUUGUUCGAUGUUGGAUCUGAUAUAUUUUGUGCCAUAAUUUAUUAUCGAGCGGGAUUCUGGGGCUAUUUUGGUAUGACAGUAGGAUUUAUUACAGUACCAUCAUUGACAAUGAGUAUAAUGAGUCUACGUUGGUAUCUUAUGGAUUAUCGACAUCACAAAAAGAAAAGGCCAAAAGUUAAGAUAAUACCAAGGUGGAAAUGGGUUUUACGUGCAAUAUUGUUAAUGCUACAACUGGGACAAAUAUUGAGAUAUAUAGACUCUCUCAUAUUUGGCAUCAAGAGUCGACAUGUAAGUAUCAAUGAGGAAAGACGCAAGAAAAAGUAUUUGUAUAAGCAAAUGCUAUAUGAAGAUGCUGAUGGGACCCUUCUUAGGCUGUUUGAAUGUUUCAUGGAGGCAGCUCCACAGCUGGUUUUACAGCUGUAUAUUCUAACUACUGAAGAUGCAGAUGUUACGGAUACUUUCAUAAUUGUGAUCCAAGUGGCCUCCGUAUUAUCAUCAUUGACGUCUCUAGCCUGGUCUCUAACUGCAUAUCACAAAGCACUACGAUUCACACGAGAUGACAAAAACAAUCUCAGCUAUAUCGCCAUGUUAGUGCAGUUCAUAUGGCGAUUUUUGACAAUUGGAUCAAGAGUAAUAGCCCUUGCAUUAUUUGCCUCUAAAUUCACAUUCUGGUUGUUUAUUGUAAUCGGAUUCCAUUACUCUCUCAUGAUCACAUGGAUAUUAUGGAUGAGAACUAAUUUUUGUGGAGGGAAAAGGUGCGAGGAACGAAUCUUCAAUGGAAUUGGUGCAGUUAUUUACAUUUUCUGUUUCUUUAAUUUGUUAGAGGGCCAUACCCGGUAUAGGUACCUGAUAUUUUACACGACUGUAUAUAUUGAAAAUUCAUGCAUGAUUUUGGCAUGGUUUUUUUAUCAGCCAGACUUUACGUUAUGGUAUAGAAUACCAUCAUUAUCUCUUGUGUUAGGAGGUUUUUUUAUUGGAAUCUUGUUCAUGAUGAUAUAUUAUCUUUUAUUACACCCAAAUGGAGCGUUUAGUUUGGAAUGGUACAUCCAACCCUUCCAAAAUGAAGAAAAUACACUUACUGAGGUACCAGCCCAUAAUGGAAUAGAGGCAGCUGGGAGUAAGCAUGCUUUGGACAAAAACAGAGGCCCAGGUUACUGUCAGGAAAGGAUUGAUCCUGUAGACUAUUCAGAUUGUAAUUCAGUGCCGGAUACUGUUGUUUAUGGAACGGGCUCCAUUGCUGGAACUUCAGCAUAUGAAAUGGGGAUUGGUAAUCCUGCGAUGGGAAGUCAUGGAUUCGAUUCAAAUUCCAAAGCAAAGAACUUUGGAACUAAGGGACAGAUAGGAAACUGUAACAAAAUUACUUCAGUGUAGAGCAGGAAAUGUAACAGCAUUAUUGUUUUUAAUUUUACUUACUGCAGUGUGUUAUUCUAGUAAAUCAACUAUUUCCAUGAUGUUGCAUAUAAGAAAGUAAACAGAGCCUGUGGUAACAAUAAUGAAUUGUCAUUAUACAUAAGAUAGUAAUUUAAAAAGUAUGGGUGUAUUGUAUGAAGAUUUCAUUAUUUAUAUUCUGCUUUUUAAUACAGAGAGGUUUAAUUUUACAACAAUCAGAUUACAGAUACAUUAAGUUUUCACUUUGUGUAUAGAGCACAGUAUCAAAUAUUUUAGUCUGAAAGCAUUGUACCUAUAUGGAUAAAUUAAGGUACCUAUAUGGACUUGUAGGUAAUGUACCAUAUGGACAAGUUAAGGUACCUAUAUGGACUUGUAUGUAAUGUACCCAUAUGGAUAAGUUAAGGUACCUAUAUGGACUUGCAGGUUAUGUACCCAUAUGGAUAAGUUAAGGUACCUAUAUGGACUUGUAUGUAAUGUACCCAUAUGGAGAAGUUGAGGUACCUAUAUGGACUAGAACUUGUAGGUAAUGUACCCAUAU
rnacentral:misc_RNA from 1 species